rnacentral:lncRNA from 1 species
GCCUCCUUCCUCCUCUUGUGAGCCGAAUGUGCAUCGCGCACCCCAUUAAAGAGCGGCAGUUGAAGAAUAAUCAUUCUGCAACCAGUUUCAGAAUAUAACUGCUCAUUAUAUAAUCAUAGAUGCGAAAAACAUAAUUGUACUCCUUCCGUCCAACAAAGGAUAUCUCAACUUUGACUAAAUUUGAAUGCAUCUAUACACUAAUUCAUGUUUAGGUACAUACAAAUUUUGACAAACUUGAGACAUCUUUUGUUAGACAGACGGAGUAACUUUAUAAGGGUUAAUGUGAUAUAUGCCACCGCAAUUAUCAUCUUUUAUAACAAUGCCACUGCAAAUCUGCAGAUUUUUUGGAAAAUGCCACCAUAGUGGACUGAAAGAGCUACUGCAGUGAAAUUUUUCAAAUGAUGAGAAUUGCAGUGGCAUUUUUCAAAUUCGUCACAAUUGAAGCAGCUCAAAUUAACCCAUUAUAUAGACGCUGAUAUACAUUCGUUUACUUGUCUUUGUGUUUCCUUGGCAAUACUUGGUCAUUUCGCUAGUUCUUUUUUUUCUCCACUUCUUCUACACGCCGAACUGCUUCUACGACUUUCCAACUGAAGCAAGACUGAUGUGACACGCCGUGGCACCCGGAAUAUAUAGUGCCAAACAGGGUGAGACGGCGGUGAGCCUAUCAGUCAAUGGGCGCGUGCCCCCACGCGUGGCGGCACAAUCUGCAACACCGCGGCCGCAUGUGGGCCGCCUCCCCGGCCUUCCGCAGGCAGCUAUUCCUGCUCCGCUCUCUCGCGCCCUCCUGCACCUGCGUAAGCGGCGGCCGCGCGUCCUCGAGCUCUCUCCGGGUCCACGCGAUGCAUGCGGCGGCAGCGGGGGCGGUGUACGAGGCGGACGCGGAGUCGGUGGUCCGGCGGAUCACGCCGCCGCUCGACCGCGCCCGGCAUAAAGGGCAGGCAGGUGAGCAAGCCGCUCGAUCUUCCGAUUUCUUGUGCGCUCUAGUUUUGGUCGAUGAAUUGGGCGGUACGAGGCUCAGGAUUGCGCAGUCUGUGUUCGAUGGAAUGCCCGAGUGGGGAAUGCUGUUGGAUGUUAUGGUAGGUUUAAGAACGAGGGGGCAUUCCUUAACUUGUGAGUGUAAAUUUAGGCGCGAAAGGUAAAAUUGCGCGGAUGGAAUAUUAAGUCAAAUUGGACGACGAGCUCUCGGCCUGUGGCCUUGGUGGACUGCUGGGAACACUACGAGGCAUAUCGCUAGGACCUGAUGCAUCAUGGGAGGGACUUGGUGUUUUUGCACGUUUAAUUGGGGCACACCACAAGUUUGGAUGCUCAUUUUGGGAGGUGUAUGCUGCCGUGGUGUUGGUGUGGCGGACGUGGGAAACUUUUAGAGCCUAAACAAGUCGCAAGUCUCACUAGUUACUACGCUGUCUAUGGCUAAUAAGCACCAUCGUAUAUAACGGCCUUUUUGAUACGAAUAAGAAAAACAAAGGAGUUUGAUAGCAUUGCCUGCAUGUGCGGAUUGGAAAACAUAGAGAAACUAUUACAUGAGUAAGAUUCGUAAAAAAAAGAAUCCAAGUAAGACAUGCUAAGCUUUUCUUUUAUCCAGUGCGUGGGAAUACAAAAGAUAGAGCUUUGCUUGAUGGUAAAUUUCUUUCUUUUUAUUUGAACGUCACACAAAGGGAAUAUUUCUUCGUUUUUCUCUUUGCUUCGUUCUUACUUAAAGGGGGUAGAGUAAUCAAAUCUAUAUGAACUUGAUAAAUUGAAUCUUGUUCCUUUUUUAACUUGAGGAGAUGCUUCUUUGUUGUUAGAAAUUCAGGGCUUUCAUAGGGAUAGCAAGUUACAUGCUUAGCGUAACGAUGCUCUAUAUUGUACUCAACAAACUUGAAUGCUAUUGGCAUGCAGAAGAUAUUUUUUUGAAAGUGAUUCAGUUCGUGUGCGAUGUACAUUCACUAAAGAAAGGGUUUUGGCACAGAAAAUGUGUGUCGUAAAGCUCUUCUUUAGAAGUACAGAAUAAAUGCAAUUCAAUGAUAGUGUAACUGUCCAUUAGUAUGAUUUUGCUCCUUAGUGACUGAAUGCAAAUAGCCCAACUUUGUAUGGCCAAUCCAUUUUGAUGAGAAGACUCUUUUUACUGUGCCUUGGAUUUCACAUACAAAAAUAAUUUGAAAUGGGGAUACCUUUUGUUAUAAAGAUUAAGUCCGGUGUCCUAGGAGUUAUAUAAUUUUUGUUCUUCAGUAUUAAACUUAAAUGGAGCCAAAGGUAAAUGCAACUUGGUUUGGCUAUCAUGGAGAUAAUCUAUAGUCAAAAUAUUAUUCUUUUUUAGAGGUUGGUUUUACAGUUGCUGCCAUGUGCCAGUAAUUUUAAAGCUGUUCAAAAUAAUUUUGUAGAAUUAAUAGUUUUGUAAGGUUUAUUGUGCUCUCUUGUAUAGUUAAGCAGGUGAUCAAACCUGUAGCAGAAGUAGAUAAAACAAGCCCUAAAUCUUACUUCAGGCAGGUCUUGUAAGUAUUUCUAGUGGUUGGGUAUAGAGUUGCUACAUAAAAUUUCAGUUGAGGAGACUUGUGCAGACAAUGAAUCUCAUCCUCAUAUUUGUCAAGUGUUUAAAGCUCCAAAAUAAUGGAGCAGUCCCAAUUUUCUGAUCCUUUCUAUCGAUUUAUGGAAAUUGUUCUGAAAUACUGCAUUGGCUUUUGAAGUUGUGGCCUGUGUAUUCCAGUUUCUUAUCAGGUGUUCUAAAACAUUUCGACGAAAAUAUUCUUAGAAUUAAUCGGCAAUUUAUCAUUAUGUUUUCCAGGGAAGAUAGCAGUAAUUGGUGGAUGUCGCGAGUACACUGGUGCUCCUUAUUUUGCCGCUAUCUCUGCCUUAAAAGUUGUAUGUAUCUUCUAAAAGAUUAAUCAAUGAAUUGCACGUAGAUGCAAAUGUUUCACAUGUUGUUGUUCAGGGUGCAGAUCUCUCACAUGUUUUCUGCACAAAAGAUGCUGCAACAGUAAUUAAGAGCUAUAGCCCUGAGUUGAUUGUGCAUCCAAUACUUGAGGAGUCCUACAGUGUAAGGUAAUUUCAAUUGAUUUUUUGAGCCCGUUUGCUGGAAUAUCGAUUUGAUGUCUUGCAUAAUCUCAAACUUAUUUUGGAAGGGAUGAUGAAAGAGAAUCUGUUUCUUCUAUCAUUCUCACUGAAGUUACGAAGUGGAUGGAGCGCUUCGAUUGCAUAGUUGUUGGUCCUGGCCUUGGAAGGGACUCAUUUCUUCUGGUUUGCUUACAUGCUUAAAUAUCCCAAAAAUAUAACUAAUAUCUCUGUCCUAUUUUGUCCCUUUUUCCAGCUUUUCACUCUUUGCUAGUUGCUACAAUUCUGAGCGCAACUUGAACCUCUUGAAUCCAGUUGAAUAUAUUUUGAUUUGUGCAAGUUGAAGUAAAACCGACUCUACCAUGUCUAAUUUGAUAAUCUAAGUUUUGUGAAGAUGUUUGCAACUAGAAAGUUAGGUGGAGUUAAUAUGCAUAUGUAGAUGGUAAACAACCAAAUAUAGUCCCGGAACUUUUUCUGAGCUGUUACAUUGCUUGCCAAUUUUCUGCGUACAAUCAUUAGGUAUUAAAGUUAUAUCUUUUAAACCCUAGAGACUAGAUGAGAUGAAUUUUCCGUACAAUACCUUUUCUAUAUCAUAUCAAAAUUCUUUUUGUAUUAGUGACCCACAUCAAUGAUUUUUCGCUUACAUUAUGUCAUCUAGGUCUAAGUACAAUAAGAUAGUACUUAGUUGAUCUUCUGUCUGACCUUUACUUCACUUUACCUAUCUGUAGAAUUGUGUCAGUAAUAUCAUGAGACAUGCACGGCAGGCUAAUAUUCCAACUGUUGUUGACGGGGUACAUUUGAACAUACUUAAUAUACUUUAUGUAUUUAAGUUAGGAGUCCAUCUUAAAUUUAAUUUGUACUGCAGGAUGGCCUUUUCCUUGUAACCAAUAACAUUAGUCUUGUUGAAGAUAACUCUCUCGCCAUCCUAACACCAAAUGUAUACGAGUACAAGCGUCUUGUCCAGAAGGUGCUUAACUGUGAUGUAGAUGAGGAAAAUGCUUCUGAGCAACUGACUACACUUUGCCAAAAGUAUGAACGUAAUACAUUUACUACCUUUUUUCUUUAGGUUCAUUUCUAACCUUUUCUUCUUUACUUUCAGAAUUGGUGGUGUAACCAUCAUGAAGAAAGGAAAAGCAGAUGUAAUUAGUGAUGGUAAACAAGGUAUUAGUAAGGCACUUCGUUACUUAACUAAAGUUCAUCCAACUCCAGCUUUAAUCCCAUCUUUCUGUGUCCAGUGCUGUGAUUUAACUUGGGACCACUACUAACUCUUUUUUAUUUAAAACUACUGGAUAUUUCUUUUCUGCAGUCACACAAGUGAGUACAUUUGGUUCCCCAAGGCGAUGUGGUGGUCAAGGCGACAUUCUUUCCGGAAGGUUUGUUGCCCUUCUCGUUGCUGAGUUUCCCUUGUCCAAGUUUUGUGGACUCCUGUUAGGAAAAGCAGCAUCAUAAUAGGCAGAUUUAGAGUCUGCUAGGAAUCCAAGUCAGGGAGGGAGUUGACUAGCAGUUUUGGUAGGAUUCAAGGAUUGUAUUAUGAAAGGUCUAGGCACAAAAACCAAUACGGCCUCCUUCUAGACAGCUCCGGCCGCCGCCGAGUUCAACUCUGCCGCCGUCGCCACGAGCUCUCCGGUCAGCAACAUCAAUCUGCUCCUCCCGCUUGAGCCCCCUUCUGAUCUGCUCCGGACAUCAGAUCCGCGCCACCACCCUGACGCAUGUCCCCCACCGGUGGGUUCCCCCAUCGUUGCCACCUCCGAGUUCUAAUAUCGCCGCCGGCCUCUCCUUCAUUCGUGUGUUGCCUCUUUUGGAUCUGAAAUUUGUGGUUCAAUUCAAGCGUACUACACGGGUUGUAAAUUUUGGUGGAGUUCAUCUGCACAAAGGAUUUUUGACAUGUUUCUUUAGAGAAACAAGUGUGUGGGUAUUACAGACUUUGCACAUCUCACCACAGAAAAUAAGCUCAAGUUUGAGAAGCUGUUUGGAACAGAAGAGUUUCUCAGGGAUUCCCCACACCUGGGCUCUUGUGGACAGUUAAGCUUUAUAUGGCUUAUGCACAAGCUGAAACUGUCUAGAAGGGGGCUUACAUAAGUUGCUACAAUCUCUAAAUGUGCUUUUCAGCAUCUUCUGUUUGCCAAUAGAAAAUAUAUAUUGUCGAUCAAUGUUAUUGAUAUAUUAUCUUAAUUCUUUUACCAUGAACUUUGCCAUAAUAUGUUUUUUGAUAUCAAGGUUGGUUUGUUGCCUGAUUUUGUUUUACUGGUGAUAGCGUGGCGCUCUUCUCAUCAUGGGCACGACACUUUCUCUUGUCAAAUGACCAACCUACAGAGAAGAGGUAAUACUUAUUCGGUUAUUCCUCUUUGUCACUACUCUCUCAUACUAAAUCAGAUUGCUUUUGCUUUCAUGCGAUGCAGCGUGAACCCGAUGAUCCUUGGGUGCAUAGCUGGCUCUCUAUUGCUCAGGAAAGCUGCAGGGCUUGCUUUUGAGAAGAAGAAGAGAUCAACCGUAACUACAGACAUCAUUGAGUUCUUGGGCAAAAGGUGCGUGUGCCCGCACUAGACCUUCCGCUUGUACGACAGUUUAUCUGAAAGCUCCCUACCCUUUAAAUUGCAGCUUGGAAGAUAUCUGCCCUGCUGAGCAGUAGUGUUGGGUGGAUUUGUUCCAUCAUUGCCGAACUGUACCCCAGCAGCCUACAAUAAUGUUGAUGCUGGCAUUUGGAUAUUACCAUCAUCGUGUACAUAUUUUGUAGACUAAGAAGAGGGUGCUGGGAUGCUUUGAUAGACUGUCUGCUUCUUUGUAAGCGCUGCAUUGGACAUGGCCUUAUGACUUUUCAAGUAUCCUUCCCAUGAUAGCUAAAACAUCUAUAUCCUUUCUUUUGUUUUUGCGCCCCUUAAUUGUUUUUAAGAGUGAUUCGUUGUUCUCUAUUUAUAUGCUGUCUAUUAUGCUCAGAAAUUUGGAAGUCUGAGAAGGUCUCUCUUUUCUUUCUUUCUUUUUUGCACGAACUUAGAAGGUCUCUCUAUAAUUAUCGUCAUAAAUAUAAGGGGCUGAGGGCGUCAUGUAUACAACCUUUGCCAUAUUAAUACAUCCAACCUGCCAUGGAUUGAAUUAGUCUACACGCAGAUUUAUUGUUUGUGUCGGAUGGAAGAAUAUUCGUUUCCCAAUUUGUAUAUUUCAAUAUUAUUAUUUUUAUUCCAUUCUGUAUAUAUAUGUAUGAGAGUACCCUUCAGAACCACAUUUUUGUGUCUCGAAUUUCUCACAUAAUUCACGUCCAAUUUUGUCGGCUCAUCCAGUCAAUCUUAUAAUCACUUCCGACUAACAGUACGAGGGGCUCCUACUGCGGUAUAUUAAUAUAUAAAAGAUAUGUACAGAAGAUUACAUAAUUACAUUCUGGGACAAGCCCCAGAGAGAGAGCUAGAGAAAGUCUAACAAGGUGGCUAUCUCAGACGACAGGUUUUGAGGCACUCUAAAACCGCCUAAGAGGAUGAGAUUAGCUUUUCCAGGUUUAAAGAUUAAAUAAUUACGAACUUUCUAGAUAUUUCAGACAGCUAAAGCAAAAACCGCAAAGAAAAUAGGGCUGCCAAAAUUGAUUCUGAUCUCCGGGAGGGUAUCCAGACAAUUAGCGGCAAGGGGCCAAUGAAUCCCAAGCUGUACCAGCACUCAGAGCUAAAAGGACAAUUAAUGAACAGAUGGUUGAGGGUUUGUUCCACUUCAGCAUCACAAAGAACACAGUUUAUGUCACCACCAACUAUGAAAUUUCUCCUGUUCAGCAUAUUCCUGGUGUUAAGCCUGUCACUGAACAAUAACCAGGCAAAGACUUUAACCUUCAUUGUGACUUUUGACUCCCAGAUCCAUUUAAAUGGCCUAGGAACCUCAAUCCUUCUGAAACAAAAAAGAGUAGAAUUUUCAGGAGUCAUUUUUCAUAAUAGACAUAUUAGCAUCAACAAUGGCCUGAUCAAGGAGUUCAAUUUCAGAGAAGACUUCAGGGGACAGAGGGAUAUGUAAAGAAUCCUCCAGGUUGCCAAUAUUGCAGUAAUCAGCAAGAGAAAUGUCAACAUUUUUAGCAAAAGAAUAGAGAUAGGGCCACUUCUCAGACAGAGUUUCAUCAGACCAAGUGUCCUUCCAUAACAGGAUAGUGUCUCCCCUCCCAGAUUGGCAAGAGGAGAUACCACGAAAAAUGGGCAUUAAUCUGAAAAUGGAUAUCCACCAAAAGGAACCGACUGGAGUAGCAGCAUGAGGAGCACCUUGAGGAUAGUAGGACUCCCAUAUGAGAUUUACUCAAGGGACAUCCAUCUUAUCAAGAAACUUGUCUAAGUGCUUCAGAAGCAGGCCUUGGUUCUGGACUCUAAGAUUAAUGACACCCAGUCCACCUUUAUCUUUAGGACGACACACUCGAUCCCAAGCAACAAGGGAAUUACAGGAAUCACCAUUUGCAGUUUUUUUAACAAGCAUCUUCUUCUGAUUUUAUCAGUUUGCUCAAUGAUCUUCACAGGGAGCUAAAGGGAACACAUUGAGUAGGUAGCAAAUGAGGAAAAAACGGAGUUAACAAUCGUAAGCUUGCCCCCAUAAGAGAGGAGGGCGGUUGUACUGGACAUUCUCCUCUCAAUCCUGUUGACUAGAGGAAGAAAAUCAGAAAACACAGGUUGAGUGGUGCCAACAGGGAGACCCAAAUAAGUGAAAGGCAUAAAGCCCACUUCACAACCAAAAAUGCCAGCAAGAACCAGUGCUCUUUCAGGCUCCAGAUUGAUGGGAAUAAGGUUUGACUUAUGGAAGUUGAUCUUAAGUCCUAUGGAGUCAGCACAAGCAGAGAGGAGGUUCUUGAUGUGACUCAUGUUCUUGGAUUUCUCGCAUGACUCACGGUUUAAAAAGUCAACUCCGCCGGCUCACCUGAUCAACCAUAUAGUCGCUUUCGAUCAACUCGGCGAGGCGAACUUAGCCAUGGUCUCGGAUUUCCCACAUGUCUCACUGUUUAAAAAGUCAACUUUCGGUAAACUUCGUCGGUUCAUCCGAUCAAUCAUAUAGCCAUUUCCGACCAACUCGGCGAGACGAACCUAACCAUGGUCUUGGAUUUAUUGCAUAACUCACGGUUUAAAAAGUCAACUUUCGGUCAACUUUGUCGUCUCAUCCGAUCAAACCAUAUAGUCGUUUCCGACCAACUCGGCGAGACGAACCUAGCAUGGUCUCAGAUUUCUCACAUGACUCACGAUUUAAAAAGUCAACUUUUGGUUAACUUCGUCGGCUCACCCGAUCAACCAUAUAGUCGCUUCUGACCAACUCGUCAAGAUGAACUAACCAUGGUUUUUUAUUUCUCGUGUGACUCAUGGUUUAAAAAUUAGGAGUGCUGCUCAUGUAUGUAACGUACAUUCGGACCAGCAGAAAAAAAAACAAUUAGUAGGAGUUUAUAUUUAUUUUUUCGUCACGGGUAUUGAUGGGGUCAAGUUAUAGUUUUCUCGAAGAAAAAAGUCAGGUCUUUGCUAAUUAAUGUUGUACUACUCAUUUCUUUCUCUAGUAUCAAAAGAUACAGUAAAAAACCUCUAGUUCUACUCAUUUCUUUGUCUUUCAGCCACACUUCAAGUAACUUUGCGGUUCCUCCGAUUCCUAACCCUACAGCGACAGAGCCACUCGAGCACCAACCAUAGGCGCGUUGGGCAACUCGUCUCCCAUCUAGCAUUUGCUUGUGCUGCCUAUCUAUAUCUAUUCCUAAAAAUCGUUUAGAUACAUGUAAUAUUUCGACAAGAAUUAUGUAACGGAUGAAAUAAAUGUUAAAGUAGUACAGGGCUCAAUUAUGUUCAAAAGAUUGAAGUACGCCCAGGUCGAACUGCACAGUACUUUAGAGGGACAUUACAAACAUGUACUCACUCUGUUUCUGCAUGAACAAAAUUACGCAAAACCAACAUAUUUGGGAUAACAUUUUAGGAAAAACCACAUUUUUUAAUUUUUUCAAAUCAUCAUCACUUUUGUGGACCGUUGUAUUCCCGCGCACUAAUUUGCGACUUGAACGCGUUUUGAUUGAAAACCUGUCAGGAAGGGCCCAUCUGUUGGUGCCACCGUGGCGACACGCUGGACAAGUGGUGCCACCGUGUCCGAACCAAGUAAAUUGCACAAAACCACCGGAUCGAAGACACUUGUUACGAAAACCACAGUUUUUGCUAAUUUUCGGGCAGAACCACCGCGUUUCAGGCAAGUUUUUGCACAUAUCACUAAUUCUGACGUUUGGGGCGUAUAAGCUCAUUUCUGACACCUCGGGCCCAGCGUUAGCUCCAUUCGGUAGCCCCGCUUGGAGUCGCUGCAACGUGAGCAUGGCCUUCUCGCGACCGACGGCGGCGGAGCGCGCCAUCCGGAUGAGCAGCGGCAGCGCGCCCUCCGCUACCUUCAACCUGUUUGACGAAUUGCUCAAGUUACAGUGGACGUGCCGCUAUUUGCUUCCCCAACCUACAACAACACAACAUCGAAUAUCUGGAGCGUCCCGUCCACUUCAAACUCCUGAAAAAGACACCCACAAGGUGUUCGACCAUAUGCUUCGCAGGCGAUUUUAGCGCCGGUAGUGCUCCCCCAUGCCGACACGAGGGAGAGUGAGCACAUGAGGGACGGGCUGGCGCCUUCCAUUGCUGUAUGCUUGCCUGCCUGCGUGUGUUGUGUCAAGGACGAGGUAGAGGACGACGGACGAAGGGGCCGGGCCCCGCCUAACGGACGGAGAUAAGACAAAGUUGAGUUUGUCAACCUGACAUGUGGGCCCGAGAUGUUAUAAAUGAGCUUAUACGCCUGAAAACGACAGAACCAGUGCUAUGUGCAAAAACUUGCAUGAAACGUGGUGUUUUUGCGCAAAAAUUAACAAAAAUGGUGGUUUUCGCAACAAGUGUCUUCAGUGUGGUGGUUGCGCAAUUUACUCGGUUCGGACACGGUGGCACCACUUGUCCAUCGUCGCUGCGGUGGCACUGACAGGUGGGCCUUUCUGUCAGGGUUUUCAAUCAAAACACGCUCAAGUCACAAAUUAAGCGCAAGAGUACAACGGUCCACAAAAAUGGUGAUGAUUUGAAAAAAAAAAACUGUGGUUUUCCUGGAAGCUUGCCCCAAUUGUGAUGAUUUUGCGUAAUUUUCUCUUUCCGCAUGCUACUAUAAAAAGUCCUAUCUUUGUGCAGUAAAAUAAAAAGUCCUAACUUUAUGCUAAGUGAACUUAUUCAAAUUUGAUCAAGGCUAUAGAAAAAACUACUAAGAUUUACAAUAUCAAACUAGUAUUACUAUAAAUAAUGACGUAAAUAAUAAAACUAAGUUGGAGUGCUUGCUUAAAAGAAAAGCAAAUUUCACACAACCACGCACCAAGUUGGAGUGCCUCCCCACCGCAUCGUCCCUUUUCGGCCGCCGCCGCAGUCCACCGCGACGGGGCGCUCUGCGUCUCCGCGCCCACCGGCCGCCGCUGCGACUCGAGGACCUCAUCCCCAACCACGCCACACGGCGUCUCUUCCAGUUCCAGGGCUGGUGCGUAGCCCGCGGCCACGCGGACGAGCGUGCGCCCACGCCCACGCCCCGUCGUAGUCUUCAUCGCCAGCGGGAGGCAAGAGCUACAAGGGGAGAUUCGCCCUCGCCCGAGCACGUACAAAUACAUGUACAAUCAGCAUACACGGUGCGGCACUAGCUCAACUAUAUCCUGAAAACUAGCUAACGGUCUCAGGUGGAUAAGUGCAACAUCGAUUCACUUGGAGCAGUUGGCAACAGAAUUACAGAAGCCUUUCCUUGACAUCUGCGGUGCGGCAGCUGCACCUCUCAAGUCUCAAGUGCAGCCUCCGUGCCUCCGUGGCCUGUAGAUGCCCCGCCUGGACGCCCUGUGCGCUCCCUCCGCCGCGUCCGUACCUUCUUCCUCGCCUCCGGCCAAACGCCGCCAUGGCCGGCGCCGCCGCCCCCAAGCCUCCUGCAGCUCGCAGGCUCGCAGCUUGCAGCACAAGCACCGCUGUGCCUCCACGACCUCGCAGCUUGCCCUCCCGCGUCCUGAAUCGCCCCCGCAUCGCCGAAAGCCGGCAGCGGCGCUCCCGCCGGCGUUCGGGAAGAAGACGACUACCACCUACGCGGCGCUCGGGCGCGCGACGAGGCCCAAGGAGGGGCGCGGUGCGCUCUCCACGCCCUGCGGUCCAGCAGGCGGCCAGGCAGGAAGAGAUGGCUGACAAAUGGGGUACAUUUCCUCCCUCGUGUCAAUCAUCUCCGACGCCAAUCUCUCU